AGCCUAAGAUGGAGCGCGCUUGCCUGGAAGUUGCCUAUUCACUCUUGACUUGAAGGUACCCAGUUUGAUUAAAGAUUUAAUUAAAGAUAAUAUUGUCCUUUCUUAUCAAAAUAUGUAGUAAGAUAUGCAGAGAAUUCAAAUUUGGUUUAGCUUUGGUAUUGAUUUAACACCAUUGCUUGUAGUGUCAAAUACACCAUUCAUAAACAUUUUUCUAUGGACAAGCUUAGGACGAAUUCAGGCCUAAGUUGUGUCAAAAUACCACACAAUUCAAGAUCCAGUAGCGAUUCCUUCAAAAUUUCGUCUAAUACAUAAUUAAUACAUAUUUAAUGGUUUCAAUAAACGACAAAUGAUUUAAGCACAAAAUGGGCUAGAACCCUGAGCCAUAGUUUAAAUUUUUUUUCUUAAUUUUUUACAAAAGUUAUUGUGUUAAUAUUCUUCCAUCUAACUUUUCCUCUAGUCUAAGUCAUAAAAGUUAAGUUUUAAUCUAAAAAGUAAUAAUUUAACUUUACGUUAGUUUUAAAUAAUCCCAUCAUCACUUAUCAUCAAGUGAGAUCGUGAUCAAGCGUUUAAAGUGUUACAGAAAAAAUUAGUACUUACUAAAUAUUGAAUUAAACUAUACCUAGAUACAUAGUGUGGCAAAUUUUGUUGUAAACUAUCUCUGAAUUGACAGAUUUAGUGCUAUCCUUGUCUGUAUGCAGCAUUAUGAAAGGGACAGCUGCAAUAGAUAGAUCUGUCAAUUCAAUAUGCUUUGUUCACUGAGUAGGGCACUCACGCAUAAUUGUACGUAAAUGAAAAGGACACACUAUGAUUGUGAUACCACUAAUAUACAUAUUAUAAAGGCCAAAGUUUGUGUAUCUGUGUGUAUGUUUGUUACUCUUUCACGCAAAAACCACUAGACGGCAGAAAUUUAGAUAGAUUAUACCCUGGAUUAACACAUCAGCUACUUUUUAUCCGGGAAAAUUAAAGAGUUUCAACGGGAUUUAAAAAACCUACAUCCACGCGAACGAAGUCGCGGGCAUCGGCUUUUGUAUAAUAUAGGAUCUAUUGACGGCAUCCAUAUUGAAUAUGAAUUUUUGAAACCAAGUUAUGAAAAAUACCAGUUAAGUAUUUUAAGAGAAGAUCGACAAAAAAAAAAGAUUUUUUGUCUACUUUAGUCACGUGAUCGUAAACGACUGUGAUUGGUCGAAUGGUUGAUGACGUCAACUGCUUGUAAACCCUUGAAACAACCAAAGU